rnacentral:sRNA from 1 species
GUGAAGAAAACAGAGAGGCACCAGUGUUACUGAGGCCUCAGGAUGACAGGUGACACAGACAGAGGGACAAAAAUCCAACCAAAGCCGACGCUUUUCCUCACGGUCCUUUAGACUGUCUGCGGUUCUUCGUGAGUGAAGAUGGCCUACAGAUCACGCACACAUAAACAGUUCCACCAUAAUCAACACCAAACUUACGGGAAAGCCAGGAGCAAUCAGUUUCAUUUAACAGCUGGAGCAAAGAUGGCAGCGAUGAGGGAACCUGUCAGAGCCUGGGUAAGCAGGGUCAAGACUGAGACAGAAGUGCACUCAGGACUUCUGCCCAGGACACGUGCACAUUAUAAAGACAUGAAGUUAAAGAAAACCAAAUCCUUAAUGUUAAGAAUUAGAGAACCCCAGGAAGCUGUCAGCCAUGUGCUCACUUCACAUAUCGACAUGUGAUGUCUGUGAAAUGAAAAAUGUAUGCUGGAAAAUGUUUGCGUUGGUGCUGGACAGAUGGCCCAGUGGCUAAGAGCACUUGUGUUCUCACUGAAGACCUGUGUUUGGUUCCCAGCACCUCCUCACACCCACCUGUAAUUCCAGUUCCAGAUGCUCCAGCACUCGGCCUGAGGGCACCAGGCAUGCAUGUACAUGGUACACACACAUAUUUGCAAACAUACAUACAUACACAUAAAAUAAAAAAAUGUCUGUGAGCAGCAAAAUUCACUAAAAAUACACAAACUCCUUUUAAAAGUUAAAAUAUUACAAUGACAUAGGGACUGUGUAGUAAAUGCCAGGUAGUUCUUGAAUGAACAGAUUUCCUCCUAUGCAGACAUCUUAGAAAGAGCAGGGAAGCAAGGCUUUCCAAUACUAGGGCUGUUUAUAGUUGAUAACUUAACAAAGGGAUCAAAGAUCGCACGGAAGAACAACCAGAAGUGGUAGUCACUGACCUGCUGAUUCUUUUCCUUAAAUCACAAUCCUUUUAAAAAAUAUCAAAAGCUCAGUUCCCUAGUCACAGAAGAGGGGAGCCUGGGCCACCAGACUGUUAGCUAGUCUGCCAGCAGAGGGACACUGCGGCCCGGGACUGGCGUCAUCUUGUACCACAGUUGAACGAUGCUGCAUUCUCCCCACCGAAAAAGCUGAGAGGUCAGCAAAGGAACACUCGCUCAGACCUCCCAGUUAGCCCUUCCACACGCUUACUUUACAUGUGCACUGUACAUGGAACCCAGCACUCUGCCCUCUUCCCGAGUGUGUACCAACCUAACCCUGCAUGGAAAGUACUGCAACAUAUAUCCCUAUGGUAUGGAUCACCCACUGAGUGUAGUUUACGUCUUCUCCUAACCGGAUCCAGAGCAAUUCCAUAUGCUGCAACUCCUUUGCUGUAUGUGAUGUGGGUUCUCAACAGUCAGUGGGCACUGUCAGUGUCAAGUAUGUGCUAGGGGUCCCUGAGAUACAUCAUAGCUUAAAAAAAGUAGAGAAAACCACUCUUUCUCAUAUAUAUUUCCGUUUUUUAAAAUUCCUUUUAUUGGACAGAUGAAGAGAAUGUAGCUGAAAUGUGUCCUGCUUUCUCCACACAGGCCUGCUGCCCAGAGAGAGCUCCUGCCAGGGAGGGGUCCACCAUGGACCCUGACGCUGCCCACUCUGCAGGUCAGUUAUGCAGGUCGGCUCACCUGUGUGUCACGAGAACAACAGUCUAACAGUGACGAACGCACCAGGAGAUGAGUGUUCUCCUAAGCAAGGACUAAGGACCACUAAGCCUAAGGACCCAAAACAGAAGAUGCCAAACCCUCAGUAAAGCGAUCAAAAGGUGGCUUCAUCCCAGUGCAAGUGGUUAAACACCUCGCAGCAGGGAAACACCUCUACUCUAUCCUCAUAUGACUCGCAGCCAAGAAUAGCUUGAAUCCAGCUGAAGUGGGAGUCUUGAAAGCUUAUUGGAAUGCCUGCCCUUCUGCGACAUAGGGCAGGAAAACCCAGAGGAAUAGACCUGAGAACCACCAGGCACAAGGGCAAACGACCUGGGGUCGUGUGGGAAAGGUAGCUUUACUGCCUUUGUCACGGAUGUUGUAUUCGUAAACCUUUCAGUGUAAGAGAUGCUACAGGUGAAUCUGGUUCUAAGUGGAAAAGUUUAUUUUGACUCAUGGGUCCAUCAGUUUUCAGUCAUUCUUCCUUGAUCUGUUGAAGCACAGUGUGUAAAAUGGUGGGAACACAUCACAGAGGAACCAUGUCGUGAUGGCCAGCAAGGGAGGGAGAGACAGAGA